UAAUCAUCUAGACAUUUCAAGAGAAACAAAACGAAAUAGCAAGAGGAAGAAAGAAGAGAAGAGAAGAGAAACUUAGGCUAGAAACAAGGAAAGAGCUACGAUUUUGGGAGGAGAAAAAGGCAGCCCAAAACGUUACCAAACAGUCCCUAAGUUUCAGCUGCGCUAAAGGGAAUUCCGAGGCAAGUUUUGGCGAGUUUUGGUGAAUUUCGGGAAAGGUUCAAGAGACGACGAGGCGAGCAUAGUUAAGAGUAAUCUGUAAGAGGUACAGACGAUUGGUUUGCUGAUCCGCUCGCUUAGGACAUCCACCAUGUUGGUCGACAGUACUCCUUUGUUCGGAGUUCUACUUUGGUACUGACACCUUCUGUUGUAUAUAUAUAUACGUUGUUUAGGGUACGGCGGGGCCCUGUCCCGUCAUAUGACUAGGAUAUCAUUAUGUAGAGGUCUGUAGACAUGAGAUGUGGGUUUUGUAUAUAUGUUUUGGGUUUUGUGUGUUU